rnacentral:rRNA from 1 species
AACGUAGGUGGCGAGCGUUAUCCGGAUUUACUGGGCGUAAAGGGUGUGCAGGCGGGCUGUUAAGUGGUGUAUGAAAUAUCCCGGCUCAACCGGGAAGGGUUAUGCCAGACUGGCAGUCUAGAGAGCGAGAGGGGGACGUGGAAUUCCGGGUGUAGUGGUGAAAUGCGUAGAGAUCCGGAGGAACCCCAGAGGCGAAGGCGGCGUCCUGGCUCGCAUCUGACGCUCAGACACGACAGCAUGGGGAGCGAACGGG